rnacentral:rRNA from 1 species
CCGCUGUUCGGUCUGCGGACCGAGCGGCUAAGUGAAAACGUUAAGCAUCCCACCUGGGGAGUACGCCGGCAACGGUGAAACUCAAAGGAAUUGACGGGGGCCCGCACAAGCGGAGGAACAUGUGGUUUAAUUCGAUGAUACGCGAGGAACCUUACCCGGGCUUGAAUUGCAGACUGAUCCGGCAGAGAUGCCGGAGUCCUUCGGGAAGUCUGUGAAGGUGCUGCAUGGUUGUCGUCAGCUCGUGCCGUGAGGUGUCGGCUUAAGUGCCAUAACGAGCGCAACCCCUAUUUUCAGUUGCCAUCAGUUUAAGCUGGGCACUCUGGAGAGACUGCCGCCGCAAGGUGUGAGGAAGGCGGGGAUGACGUCAAAUCAGCACGGCCCUUACGUCCGGGGCUACACACGUGUUACAAUGGCCGGUACAACAAGAGGGCUGCCCGCAAGGUCAGUCAAAUCCUGAAAACCGGUCUCAGUUCGGACUGGAGUCUGCAACUCGACUCCACGAAGCUGGAUUCGCUAGUAAUCGCGCAUCAGCCAUGGCGCGGUGAAUACGUUCCCGGGCCUUGUACACACCGCCCGUCAAGCCAUGAAAGCCGGGAGUGCCUGAAGUCCGUGACCGCAAGGGUCGGCCUAGGGCAAAACCGGUAAUUGGGGCUAAGUCGUAACAAGGUAGCCGUACCGGAAGGUGCGGCUG